GGUUAGGGUUAGGGUUGGAGUUAGGGUUAGUGUUGGAGCUAGGGUUAGGGUUGGGCUUGGAGCUAGGAUUUUUCUGAGUGCAAUGAACCAACUCCCGAGUCUCUAGGACGUUCCUAAAAAAAUUUGAUUUUUUCCCAUAGGAAUGCAUGGGUUAUGGUUAGGGUUAGGGUUGGAGCUAGGGUUAGGGUUAGGGUUAGGGUUGGAGUUAGGGUUAGUGUUGGAGCUAGGGUUAGGGUUGGGCUUGGAGCUAGGAUUUUUCUGAGUGCACUGAACCAACUCCCGAGUCUCUAGGACAUUCCUAAAAAAAUUUGAUUUUUUCCCAUAGGAAUGCAUGGUUUAGGGUUAUGGUUAGGGUUAGGGUUGGAGCUAGGGUUAGGGUUAGGGUUAGGGUUGGAGUUAGGGUUAGUGUUGGAGCUAGGGUUAGGGUUGGGCUUGGAGCUAGGACUUUUCUGAGUGCAAUGAACCAACUCCCGAGUCUCUAGGACGUUCC